GGGGUUGUGGCUCAGUGGUAGAGCACUUGCCUCACAAGUGUGAGGCACUGGGUUCAAUUCUCAGCACCA
rnacentral:tRNA from 1 species